rnacentral:sRNA from 4 species
UAUCUCUCCGUACGGGGAAGGAUGAGAAGCUUCGACUAAGGUUCGAUUCGAGCGAAAGCGAGAAAGCGUUGCCGCAGGCAACGGCCCGAAGGGCGAAGCGCGCAGCGCUGAGUCAUCCUUCCCCCACCACCA